CCUCUUGUUUAGUGGGAGGUCUCUGCUAAUCCUGACUGAAGAAGGGUGUGAAUGGUUUUGCUCUGUGCUCUUUGUUUUCCCGGUCAAGAAAAGUCUGGAGGCCGCAGAGUGAAGCUAAGGAUAACUUGGCUAGGACUAGAAAGCUGGAGCUGCGCUAGUGUCCUCAGCAAGUCAACACUGCUCUCUGCCGAGCAUCUUCACGAGAUAUGUCUGCAAUCCUUCUGGGAUGUUUAUUAUUACUUGGAAACUUGAAGAAGAGUUCCUCAUGGGUACUGGAGCUUGCAAGUAUAGUCCUGCCUACUCCAUCUGGAGGCCUAGUUAAAGACCUGUUACAUCCAUGAGUUCAACAUCAGCCUGGGCAAUAAAGAAACACCUAUUGCAAAAGAAAAGGAGGGAAGGAAGGAUGGAAGGAAGGGAAAGAAGGAGGGAAGAAAAGAGGGAGGGAAGGAAG